rnacentral:rRNA from 6 species
UCUGGCGGCAGUAGCGCGGUGGUCCCACCUGACCCCAUGCCGAACUCAGAAGUGAAACGCCGUAGCGCCGAUGGUAGUGU